rnacentral:lncRNA from 1 species
GGGGUACAGCAGUUGUGUUAUAUUCUUAAUCACUAUAAAAACAAAAACACAAAUAUUUCUUCAAAAAAUAACAAAAUGGCAUAUAGAAACAGCUAAUAAGCAAAAAUGAAAUACAAGCAUACAAAAUUUAUAAAGAGGCACUUUUAUAAGACUGGUUUUGGGAACAGUACUGCAUAUCCCCUGCAUAGAACAUAAGUUUAAAUUCUUCAUCACGUUAUUCAUUUUCACUUGGAUUUUAUUCUUAAAUUUCCACAUUUCCAACUCUGAGGUUAGUCUGUUUUGUUUUUUUUGCUUACUGCCAACAGUACCACAUGCUGUAACUGUCCCUUUUUAAAACUUCUACCCAGGUUAUAGAUUGCAUUAGUUCAUUGUCUUAUGAAGACGAAACACGCUGCUGGCG